rnacentral:rRNA from 1 species
CAGUAGCCGCGGUAAUACGGAGGGAGCUAGCGUUGUUCGGAAUCACUGGGCGUAAAGCGCACGUAGGCGGCUAUUCAAGUCAGGGGUGAAAGCCCGGGGCUCAACCCCGGAACUGCCUUUGAAACUAGAUAGCUUGAAUCUUGGAGAGGCGAGUGGAAUUCCGAGUGUAGAGGUGAAAUUCGUAGAUAUUCGGAAGAACACCAGUGGCGAAGGCGACUCGCUGGACAAGUAUUGACGCUGAGGUGCGAAAGCGUGGGGAGCAAACAGGAUUAGAUACCCGCGUAGUCCCUGUCUCUUAUAC